GACGAACCGUGCUAACGUUGUUCGGAAUCACUGGGCUUAAAGGGCGCGUAGGCGGUCUGCCAAGUCAGGGGUGAAAUCUUUCGGCUUAACCGGAAAAGUGCCUUUGAUACUGGCGGACUUGAGGGAGGUAGGGGCAGAUGGAACUGGUGGUGGAGCGGUGAAAUGCGCAGAUAUCAGGAGGAACACCGGUGGCGAAGGCGGGUCUCUGGGCCGAUACUGACGCUGAGGAGCGAAAGCGUGGGGAGCGAACAGG
rnacentral:rRNA from 1 species